ensembl:miRNA
CCUAAAAUGCUUUGCUAAAGCUGGUAAAAUGGAACCAAAUCAACUGUU